rnacentral:rRNA from 1 species
UACAGAGGUCUCAAGCGUUGUUCGGAUUCAUUGGGCGUAAAGGGUGCGUAGGUGGCGGGGUAAGUCAGGUGUGAAAUCUCGAGGCUCAACCUCGAAACUGCACUUGAUACUGCCUUGCUGGAGUACUGGAGAGGAGAUUGGAAUUACGGUGUAGCAGUGAAAUGCGUAGAUAUCGUAAGGAAGACCAGUGGCGAAGGCGAAUCUCUGGACAGUUACUGACACUGAGGCACGAAGGCCAGGGGAGCAAACGGG